rnacentral:rRNA from 1 species
UGGUGGGGUAAUGGCCUACCAAGGCUACGAUGGUUAGCCGGUCUGAGAGGAUGAUCAGCCACACUGGAACUGAAACACGGUCCAGACUCCUACGGGAGGCAGCAGUGAGGAAUUUUGCGCAAUGGGGGAAACCCUGACGCAGCAACGCCGCGUGAGUGAAGAAGGCUUUCGGGUCGUAAAGCUCUGUCAGAUAGGAAAAAAGUUCAUAUGUAAAUAGCUUAUGAAUCUGAUGGUACUAUCAGAGGAAGCACCGGCUAACUCCGUGCCAGCAGCCGCGGUAAUACGGAGGGUGCAAGCGUUGUUCGGAAUUAUUGGGCGUAAAGGGCGUGUAGGCGGGAUAAUCAGUCAGAUGUGAAAGCCCUGGGCUUAACUCAGGAAGUGCAUUUGAUACUGUUAUUCUUGAGUAUGGGAGAGGAGAGUAGAAUUCCCAGUGUAGAGGUGAAAUUCGUAGAUAUUGGGAGGAAUACCCGUGGCGAAGGCGACUCUCUGGACCAAUACUGACGCUGAGACGCGAAAGCGUGGGGAGCAAACAGGAUUAGAUACCCUGGUAGUCCACGCCGUAAACGAUGAGAACUAGGUGUAGCGGGUAUUGACCCCUGCUGUGCCGAAGUUAACGCAUUAAGUUCUCCGCCUGGGGAGUACGGCCGCAAGGCUAAAACUCAAAGGAAUUGACGGGGACCCGCACAAGCGGUGGAGCAUGUGGUUUAAUUCGACGCGACGCGAAGAACCUUACCUGGAUUUGACAUCCUCUGACCUCCAUGGAAACAUGGCUUUCUAUGCUUGCAUAGACAGAGUGACAGGUGCUGCAUGGCUGUCGUCAGCUCGUGUCGUGAGAUGUUGGGUUAAGUCCCGCAACGAGCGCAACCCUUGUUUUUAGUUGCUAUUAUUAAGUUAAGCACUCUAGAAAUACUGCCUCGGUUAACGGGGAGGAAGGUGGGGAUGACGUCAAGUCCUCAUGGCCUUUAUAUCCGGGGCUACACACGUGCUACAAUGGACUGUACAAAGGGUCGCCACUUCGCGAGAAGGAGCUAAUCCCAAAAAGCAGUUCUCAGUUCGGAUUGGAGUCUGCAACUCGACUCCAUGAAGUUGGAAUCACUAGUAAUCGUGGAUCAGCAUGCCACGGUGAAUACGUUCCCGGGUCUUGUACACACCGCCCGUCACACCACGAAAGUCGGCUGUACCAGAAGUUGCUGGGCUAACCCUUCGGGGAAGCAGGUACCUAAGGUACGGUCGGUAAUUGGGGUGAAGUCGUAACAAGGUA